GACGAACGCUGGCGGCGUGCUUAACACAUGCAAGUCGAACGGAAAGGCCCUGCUUUUGUGGGGUGCUCGAGUGGCGAACGGGUGAGUAACACGUGAGUAACCUGCCCUUGACUUUGGUAUAACUUCAGGAAACUGGGGCUAAUACCGGAUAGGAGCUCCUGCUGCAUGGUGGGGGUGGGAAAGUUUCGGCGGUUGGGGAUGGACUCGCGGCUUAUCAGCUUGUUGGUGGGGUAGUGGCUUACCAAGGCUUUGACGGGUAGCCGGCCUGAGAGGGUGACCGGCCACAUUGGGACUGCGAUACGGCCCAGACUCCUACGGGAGGCGGCAGUGGGGAAUAUUGCACAAUGGGCGGAAGCCUGAUGCAGCAACGCCGCGUGCGGAAUGACGGCCUUCGGGUUGUGAACCGCUUUAGCCUGUGACGAAGCGUGAGUGACGGUAAUGGGUAAAGAAGCACCGGCUAACUACGUG
rnacentral:rRNA from 1 species